CUUUGCUGCCUCGCCUUCAUCUGCCACAGAAACAUGUCAAGAUAAAUCUUAACACAAUCUCUUUUCUUUUCUUUGUGACUUUCUAUCCUUGACAUUAGGGUCAAGAUGUUUUUCUUUUAAAACAACUGGCAAUUCUCUGCCCUUUUGUUCUGUUUGGAUCUGAGCACCCUGUCAUUUCUCUGCGGUCCCCAGUUUUAUUUUUGCUCUGGCAUCACUGGAAAUGAUGGCGUCUCACUUAGUGAUGUUUGCUAUGAAGAUCUCAUGAGCCACUUUAUCCUUCUCCCAGCCAACUGCGGAAGAAACUCAAAUUCCUCUGACAUUGCUGCAUCUGGGCGGAUCCUUGCAGCGGUUGAGCAUAUGGUGGAACAAACCCUAGACUCUGAACCAUGGGACUUAAACUCCGGUCCUUCCUCGGCCAUUGGGAAGGUAGAACUUGGGUGCUGGGGUUCUAUUUUGCACACUGGUGAACCAGAAGUGACCCAAAUCAUCUGAAGGUCCUUAAUUCCAUGAAUAAAACUAUAUUCAGAAGGUGAUUAUCGUGUAAAGGAGAGGUGCAUUAUCUUUGGGGAACAAGUGACCAUGGAAACAGUGAGUGCAGGAAAUAGUAGAGCUUUGCAUUUGGGUCCUUCAGGAGGCUUUGCAGUGGAAUCACCCUGCAGCUCGGAAAAGUGGGAGCAACGUGCUGUGAUGCCACCUCUUGGCUAAUGAAUGUGGACUGUGAGGUGACAGAGGGAACCCUGAUCAUCUGACACUGACUCUUGGUACAGAACCACUGUGGAAGUCAUCCAGGAGAAAAGCAAACAACUAGUGUGCUGUAUGGUGAAGAUUUUCUGUGUUUAGUGACCGAACUCUUAUUGCCUUUGGAGAAUGAAAUCCACACUUUUUGCUUUUUGGAGUGGUUGACUUGAAUGAUAAUCAACAUGGGGGAGAGAUGGGAUUACUUUCUAAAUGGAGUAAGGGGUAAGCAAGGGUAAGCAUCUUGGACAAAAUGGCGGCAAGUAUGAAAUGACAAAAGCGCUUGUCUCCAGCAUCUGGCUAAGCAGUCUUUUGCCAAGACCCUCACCUUUGGCCUGGAUAGAGGCUCUCUAGCUGGGUCAGAGCAAAGAGCAGCAUCCUGACCAUUCAUUCCAUGGUCUCCUGGCUGACCAAGGGGGGCCAAUUAGGUCCUAUUGUGAUAGAAGUGGGAGGGAAAGUUUCCUCCAUUCCGAUGACCCUUGGAGUGACUCCAUCAGUCUUAAAGGCCAUAGGGGUGGAGGAUGGGGCGCUAUUCUCUACCUCAUUGGGCCAUAGCCAGCCCUGUGUGAGUAAUUGGUUCUGUUCCUUAGCCUGAGGUCCUUCAGAUCUAUGGGAUUGACACUGCCUUCGUGCCUCCCCCAAACAGAAAUUUGCUCAGUUUGUCAUUUCAGAAGAUGGCUGUUUGGGGAUGGGAGGAAGAAAAAUAAAAUAUAAACACUA
rnacentral:lncRNA from 1 species